rnacentral:rRNA from 1 species
CAGCAGCCACGGGAAUACGAAGGGGGCAAGCGUUGUUCGAAUUAUUGGGCGUAAAGGGUGCGUAGGCGGUUUGAUAAGUCAUCUGUGAAAUCUCUGGGCUCAACCCAGAGUCUGCAGGCGAAACUGUCGGGCUUGAGUAUGGGAGAGGUGAGUGGAAUUUCCGGUGUAGCGGUGAAAUGCGUAGAUAUCGGAAGGAACACCUGUGGCGAAAGCGGCUCACUGGACCAUAACUGACGCUGAGGCGCGAAAGCGUGGGGAGCAAACAGGAUUAGAUACCCGCGUAGUCCCUGUCUCUUAUACC